UACGGAGGGUGCGAGCGUUGUCCGGAAUCACUGGGCGUAAAGGGCGCGUAGGCGGCCUGAUAAGUAGGGGUGAAAUCCUGCGGCUUAACCGCAGGGCUGCCUUCUAAACUGUCGGGCUAGAGCACGGUAGAGGCAGAUGGAAUUCCCGGUGUAGUGGUGGAAUGCGUAGAGAUCGGGAAGAACAUCAGUGGCGAAGGCGGCGACCUGGUCCGAUACUGACGCUGAGGCGCGAAAGCGUGGGUAGCAAACAGG
rnacentral:rRNA from 1 species